GUGGAGCAGUUGGUAGCUCGUCGGGCUCAUAACCCGAAGGUCAUAGGUUCGAGUCCUGUC
rnacentral:tRNA from 1 species